GAUGAACGCUGGCGGCGUGCCUAAUACAUGCAAGUCGAGCGAACAGACGAGGAGCUUGCUCCUCUGACGUUAGCGGCGGACGGGUGAGUAACACGUGGAUAACCUACCUAUAAGACUGGGAUAACUUCGGGAAACCGGAGCUACUACCGGAUAAUAUAUUGAACCGCAUGGUUCAAUAGUGAAAGACGGUUUUGCUGUCACUUAUAGAUGGAUCCGCGCCGCAUUAGCUAGUUGGUAAGGUAACGGCUUACCAAGGCAACGAUGCGUAGCCGACCUGAGAGGGUGAUCGGCCACACUGGAACUGAGACACGGUCCAGACUCCUACGGGAGGCAGCAGUAGGGAAUCUUCCGCAAUGGGCGAAAGCCUGACGGAGCAACGCCGCGUGAGUGAUGAAGGUCUUCGGAUCGUAAAACUCUGUUAUUAGGGAAGAACAAAUGUGUAAGUAACCAUGCACGUCUUGACGGUACCUAAUCAGAAAGCCACGGCUAACUACGUG
rnacentral:rRNA from 1 species